rfam:Loxodonta africana unplaced genomic scaffold scaffold_139, whole genome shotgun sequence.
GGUUCCAUGGUGUAGUGGUUAGCACAUCUGCUUUACACGCAGAAGAUCCUGGGUUCAAUCCCUAGUGGAACCA